UACGUAGGGUGCGAGCGUUAAUCGGAAUUACUGGGCGUAAAGCGUGCGCAGGCGGUUUUGUAAGUCAGAUGUGAAAUCCCCGGGCUUAACCUGGGAACUGCGUUUGAAACUACAAGGCUAGAGUGUGGCAGAGGGGGGUGGAAUUCCACGUGUAGCAGUGAAAUGCGUAGAGAUGCGGCGGAACACCGAUGGCGAAGGCAGCCCCCUGGGCUGAGAUUGACGCUCAGGCACGAAAGCGUGGGGAGCAAACAGG
rnacentral:rRNA from 1 species